rnacentral:rRNA from 1 species
ACGGAGGGUGCAAGCGUUGUUCGGAUUUAUUGGGCGUAAAGCGCGUGUAGGCGGUUUGUUAAGUCUGAUGUGAAAGCCCUGGGCUCAACCUAGGAAGUGCAUUGGAUACUGGCAGACUUGAAUACGGGAGAGGGUAGUGGAAUUCCUGGUGUAGGAGUGAAAUCCGUAGAUAUCAGGAGGAACACCAGUGGCGAAGGCUGCUGCCUGGACCGAUACUGACGCUGAGACGCGAAAGCGUGGGUAGCAAACAG